rnacentral:rRNA from 1 species
AACGAACGCUGGCGGCAUGCCUAACACAUGCAAGUCGAACGAUGCCUUCGGGCAUAGUGGCGCACGGGUGCGUAACGCGUGGGAAUCUGCCUUUCGGUUCGGAAUAACUCAGGUAAACUUGAGCUAAUACCGGAUAACGUCGCAAGACCAAAGAUUUAUCACCGAAAGAUGAGCCCGCGUAGGAUUAGCUAGUUGGUGAGGUAAAGGCUCACCAAGGCGACGAUCCUUAGCUGGUCUGAGAGGAUGAGCAGCCGCACUGGGACUGAGACACGGCCCAGACUCCUACGGGAGGCAGCAGUGGGGAAUAUUGGAAAAUGGGCGAAAGCCUGAACCAGCAAUGCCGCGUGAGUGAUGAAGGCCUUAGGGUUGUAAAGCUCUUUUACCCGGGAAGAUAAUGACGGUACCGGGAGAAUAAGCCCCGGCUAACUCCGUG